rfam:Beta vulgaris subsp. vulgaris chromosome 8, whole genome shotgun sequence.
AUUUUAGAUGUGUUUCCUGUUGUAAACAUGGACGGAAAUUCAUGUGUAGGCUUUAGGUGAGCUAUGAAUGAGUUGUAUCUCGCUCAUAAAGAAACCUACAGAUAUUG